rnacentral:rRNA from 1 species
ACGUACACUCCUGCGGGAGGCAGCAGUGGGGAAUAUUGCACAAUGGGCGCAAGCCUGAUGCAGCGACGCCGCGUGGGGGAUGAAGGCCUUCGGGUUGUAAACUCCUUUCGCUAGGGACGAAGCUUUUUUGUGACGGUACCUAGAUAAGAAGCACCGGCUAACUACGUGCCAGCAGCCGCGGUAAUACGUAGGGUGCGAGCGUUGUCCGGAAUUACUGGGCGUAAAGGGCUCGUAGGUGGUUUGUCGCGUCGUCUGUGAAAUUCUGGGGCUUAACUCCGGGCGUGCAGGCGAUACGGGCAUAACUUGAGUGCUGUAGGGGUAACUGGAAUUCCUGGUGUAGCGGUGAAAUGCGCAGAUAUCAGGAGGAACACCGAUGGCGAAGGCAGGUUACUGGGCAGUUACUGACGCUGAGGAGCGAAAGCAUGGGUAGCGAACAGGAUUAGAAACCCGAGUAGUCCCAUG